rnacentral:lncRNA from 1 species
UAGACCAGCUAAUAUACGUAAUACUUUUCCUCAUGGCCCCAAUUUCCCAGUGUCGGAGGAAGUUCUGCUUUCUCCCGCAUCUCCUGCGGCUUAACCUGUGGAGGUCCUGAGAGGCAACCCAGGCCCUGGAAUAGCAGUGCUUUUCUCGGUGGUCCAUGGAGAGCCAGGGUAUGACGUGCUCCCACAGAGUUUCUGACUUUGAAAAACAGUGACUACAUGCUAAAAAAGAAAGAAAGAAA